UAUGAGGAAAGGAUAGUGGCGGAAGGGCGAGUAAUGCGAGAGCAAGCUGCCCCUCGGCCGGGGACAACGUUUGGAAACGAACGCUAAUACCGGAUGUGAAGCGCAACCGCAUGGUUGUGUCUUGAAAGAUGGGGACCCGCAAGGGCCUGUCGCCGAGGGAGGUGCUCCCGUGCCAUCAGCUAGUUGGUGAGGUAAUGGCUCACCAAGGCUACAACGGCUAGGUGGACUGAGAGGUUGGUCACCCGCACUGGGACUGAGACACUGCCCAGACUCCUACGGGAGGCUGCAGUCGAGGAUCAUUCGCAAUGGGCGAAAGCCUGACGAUGCGACGCUGCGUGUAGGAUGAAGGCCCUCGGGUCGUAAACUACUGUCAUGUGGGAAAAAGGGGUCGGUGUGAAUAGCACCUGACUUUGGAUGGUACCACAAGAGGAAGCCACGGCUAACUCUGUGCCAGCAGCCGCGGUAAUACAGAGGUGGCGAGCGUUGUUCGGAUUUACUGGGCGUAAAGCGUGCGUAGGCGGUCGCGUGUGUCGGAUGUGAAAUCUCGGGGCUCACCCCCGAAAGUGCAUCCGAAACUGCGCGGCUAGAGGCCGGGAUGGGUGACUGGAACACAUGGUGUAGCGGUGAAAUGCGUUGAUAUCAUGUGGAACACCGGAGGCGAAGGCGAGUCACUGGAACGGAUCUGACGCUGAGGUACGAAAGCGUGGGGAGCAAACAGGAUUAGAUACCCUGGUAGUCCACGCUGUAAACGGUGCACAUUUGCCGUGGGGGGAAUUGACCCCCCCCGUGGCGGAGCAAACGCGUUAAAUGUGCCGCCUGGGGAGUACGGCCGCAAGGUUAAAACUCAAAGAAAUUGACGGGGGCCCGCACAAGCGGAGGAGCAUGUGGCUUAAUUCGAUGCAACGCGAAGAACCUUACCUAGGCUUGACAUGUGACUGCACGACCG
rnacentral:rRNA from 1 species